GAUGAACGCUAGCUACAGGCUUAACACAUGCAAGUCGAGGGGAAACGACAUCGAAAGCUUGCUUUCGAUGGGCGUCGACCGGCGCACGGGUGAGUAACGCGUAUCCAACCUGCCCACCACUUGGGGAUAACCUUGCGAAAGUAAGACUAAUACCCGAUGAUAUCUCUAGAAGACAUCUGAAAGGGAUUAAAGAUUUAUCGGUGAUGGAUGGGGAUGCGUCUGAUUAGCUAGUUGGUGGGGCAACGGCCUACCAAGGCGACGAUCAGUAGCCGGUCUGAGAGGAUGAACGGCCACAUUGGAACUGAGACACGGUCCAGACUCCUACGGGAGGCAGCAGUGGGGAAUAUUGGGCAAUGGGCGAAAGCCUGACCCAGCAACGCCGCGUGAAGGAAGAAGGCCUUCGGGUUGUAAACUUCUUUUAAGAGGGACGAAGAAGUGACGGUACCUCUUGAAUAAGCCACGGCUAACUACGUG
rnacentral:rRNA from 1 species